CUACCACAUCCAAGGAAGGCAGCAGGCGCGCAAAUUACCCACUCCCGGAACGGGGAGGUAGUGACGAAAAAUAACAAUACGGGACUCUUUUGAGACCCCGUAAUUGGAAUGAGUACACUCCAAACCCUUUAACGAAGACCAUCAGAGGGCAAGUCUGGUGCCAGCCGCCGCGGUAAUUCCAGCUCUGAUAGCGUAUAUUAAAGUUGUUGCGGUUAAAAAGCUCGUAGUUGGAUCUCAGUUNCCGACGGGCGGUCCGCCUACCGGCGGUCACUGCCCGGUCGGAACAACACGGCCGGUUUCCCUUGAUGAUCUUCACCGGUUGUCUCGGGUGACCGGCGAGUUUACUUUGAAAAAAUUAGAGUGCUCAACGCAGGCGCGACGCCUGGAUAAUGGUGCAUGGAAUAAUGGAAUAGGACCUCGGUUCUAUUUUGUUGGUUUUCGGAACACGAGGUAAUGAUUAAGAGGGACAGACGGGGGCAUUCGUAUUGCGACGCUAGAGGUGAAAUUCUUGGACCGUCGCAAGACGAACUACUGCGAAAGCAUUUGCCAAGAAUGUUUCCAUUAAUCAAGAACGAAAGUUAGAGGUUCGAAGGCGAUCAGAUACCGCCCUAGUUCUAACCAUAAACGAUGCCAGCCAGCGAUCCGGCUGCGUUCCUCAAAUGACGCGCCGGGCAGCUUCCGGGAAACCAAAGCCUUUGGGUUCCGGGGGAAGUAUGGUU
rnacentral:rRNA from 1 species